rnacentral:rRNA from 1 species
UACGUAUGGAGCAAGCGUUAUCCGGAUUUACUGGGUGUAAAGGGAGUGUAGGUGGCCAGGCAAGUCAGAAGUGAAAGCCCGGGGCUCAACCCCGGGACUGCUUUUGAAACUGCAGGGCUAGAGUGCAGGAGGGGUAAGUGGAAUUCCUAGUGUAGCGGUGAAAUGCGUAGAUAUUAGGAGGAACACCAGUGGCGAAGGCGGCUUGCUGGACUGUAACUGACACUGAGGCUCGAAAGCGUGGGGAGCAAACAGG